GGCGCUGUGGCUUAGCUGGUUAAAGCACCUGGCUAGUAACCAGGAGAUCCUGAGCUCAACCCUCUGCAGUGCCC